AACGGCCGUAUCAUGCUGAAUAUACCGGUUCUCGUUAGAUCACCGAAGUCAAGCAUCAUUGGGCGCGGUCAGUACUUGGGUGGGUGACCACCUGGGAACACCGCGUGCUGUU
rnacentral:rRNA from 1 species